UGAAGAGAGAGUAAACAGUACGUGAAACCGCAUAGAGGUAAACGGGUGGCGUCAAGCUGCACGCCUGGAGGAUUCAGUCGGUCAGGGUGUUGUGUGUGCGCCUGGCGCAUCUAUCAGUCGGAGUGAGACGAGGUGGUCCGCUGGGUGACGGCGGGCCCGGCCGAGAGGCCGGGAUUGGUGUUGUUCCGUGUUGUGUGCGGACCAGACCACCUCUUGUCUGGGGACUGCCUGGCCGAUGCACUUUCUCUGUUUUUGGCGAACACCACGACCGGUGGGACUGCCAGUCUGCUGUGGUGAAGUCGUCAGGUCUGGUCGGCGCCUUGUGUUGUCUUGGCUGGGCCUGACGAUCAUGGGCAGGCGGUGUGCGGGCGCACGUGUGUUUACACGCGCGUGCCUGCGGGCCAGUCUGUCAACGGGUCUGUCUGGCGACGCUUGUAGUGGUUGGUUGUCAGAUGGCAGGCCUGAUGGAACCAUGGUGGUAGGAAUAACUGUGCAGGGCACCGGUGAUGUCGGUCUCGAAUUCGGCUCGCGCGCACACACACUACAGGUGUGGUG
rnacentral:rRNA from 1 species